UAUCUAAUCUGUUAAACCUUUUGAUACGUAUGUAUAAAUCCAUCUGCAGGCUGCCUUAUAAACGAGUAUUAUCAUAAUUUUGAUUGAAGACAUGUAUUUUAAACUUGUGUUAGCGUCUGUUGGUCUCUUGUGUGUAGAUGUUGCCUUAGGUAUGUAAAGACACGUUUCUGAUUGUAUGCACGAAUGGUCUCUAAAAUUUGAAACCAUUUGCUGCCAGUAUAGCAAUCACGAACUUUAAAAUACUACUUUAGCGGCUUCGAAAACAAGCAUUUAGAAUUAACAUAGAUGACAGUACUGAUUACUUUUCUGAAGAGAAUUCUAAUGACCUUCAGCUCUAGGAUAUAUCUGCAACUGGCCUUGAAGUGAAAGAGUAAACGUGAGCUACAUGAAGUCGACAUGUAGGUUCAUCACCAUCACCACCGCACACUCUUUUUUAUAAUAACUGUUUUUCUGAUGCCUAUCUUGGUAACGUGACACUGUCUGGGAAAGUUUUAACAGUGGAAAUGGCGCAAUCGACUGCUAUCGUUGCUAUGCUACUGACAAGGAUCCUCAAGCCACCCUCAACUGUCGUCACUUUGAUAAUAUUACCAAAAGUGAGCGCUGUAUAGGAUAUUGCAUGUUUACUUAUGGAUCUUUUACAGAAAAUGGGGUCCUUCUAGGUGUAGCGCAGAGAUAUUGUUCUGUAUUUAAUUGUGAACACCACCAGGCUAAUGACAAAUCAAUAAAAUACUGUACGUCUUGCGGAAGCAACUUAUGCAAUACUGACAAAUAUUGAUCAAUAUGCCUCUGUAGGGAUUACUUAUAGGUAUACAUUUUUGUGUGU